rnacentral:lncRNA from 1 species
GUGAAUGCAUAACUCUUUAAAAAUUAAUAUAGUUAAAAUUAUAUUAUUUAUUUUUGGGGUAUCCAUUUUGUGGUGGCCAAAAGCUGAAAUGGAAAACAGUAAACUACUAUAUCAAUUUCUCUGAGGUUACUUGCUCAUCUUUACUUUUUCCUGGGCUCAGAGAUGGACCAAGUCCACCAUACUUGAGUUUCUACUAUAUUUUAACUCUAGUGCCCAUUAUUGAUUUAGUCUAGAAUAUUUUUCUCCCCCCAAAAUCUCCUGUGCCACCUGUUAGAAUUUUGAGUUCUCUGGCAAAUUUCUAAGCAUGGCUUUUUAUCUUCUUGAAAAUAGCAUGUACAUAGUUGUUGCACAGUCUGUGUCCAAAUAUCCCAGCAUCUGGAGACCCUGUUGUGUGUUAUUUCUUCUUUACUGUCCUCCUUCUGGUGCCUGGUUACCUCUGAUAAUUUGGAAGACAUAUACAAGAAAGUAUUUGUAGAAAGCAAUCAAGGCCUAGGGUGAUAUUCUCUUCCUCCCAAAAGAAUUCUAGUUUUUGAUACUAGCAGUUUGGAGUCACCUUAAAUAAGUUCUAUGCUUGAGCAUUUUUGGCCUUGGGACUUCCAGUUGCCAUAAGCCUUUAAAGGAUGCCAAAAUUCAGUUUAGAUUCUCAAACCCCCUACAGAAUCAACAAAUGCCCCCUUCCCCCAGAACAAAAGCAAUCCCAAGUUCCAGGCUUGUGUCCACAGAUUCCUUUCCCAAGUUUUGGCCUAGCAAUUCCUUACUAGCCCUUUGAAUUUUAAAAUAUUUUAUCCAGCUUUUUUAGUUGUCUUCAUCUGGAAGAUUGGUCUGAAUUACUCAGUCCUUAAUGAAAGUAGAAAUCCUUCUGAUCCAGACCUCAGUUUUUUAGUGGUUUACUUUUCUCUGGACAUGAGCUUCUUAGAAAAAAAAAUUUUUUUUCCGAUUUCUUUUUUCUUUAGCAGUAAAGUCUACAUUGACUUGUGCACACACACACACACACACACACACAUUGCUUCCCUCACCUGCAGUCUGGGCUGGAAGAGAACCCUGCAUCCUAUACACCAAAUAUCCCAGGAGAGCUGAGGUCAGAGUGGCCCUCCUUACCAGACUCAGAAACAGCCUGUUGGUACAAAUAUUCAGGUGGGGCCUGGAGAAGGCAGGUGCACAGCCGUGGCUUUGAUAAUUUUCUCUUCAGUACAACACUAGCAUGAGGAGCAGCCCUGGGUGUAAAGGCCCCUGAUAGGUCUCAGUUUGCAGAAUAGGACGUGACAAGAAGAUCGGAGCUGCAGCCAGCUCUAGAGGGAGAAAGAGGAGCCAAACAGAAAACAGAAGCUAAAUGAUGCAUUAAAAACCUGUAAGUCCCCCCACGAAGAUUUCCUCUUCGGCAGGCUUCACUUUUAAACAAAGCUUUUUCAUUCCAUUGGUUUGGGGUGAACUGUUCCCGGAGAUUUUGCUAAAUGGAUCGGUAUGGGGCGAAUUGGGUCCGCAGGGAAGAAUUUGUGGAGGCUAGUUUUCAGAGACUGUUCCUCUGUUGUAGGAAAUCAAAUGUAAAUCUUCCCAGAGUCACUUACAGUACUUGUUUUUGGUGACUACUCUCAGUGGCCACUGGGGAUUGCCUUCCAGGGUUCUGGGCUUCGGUUUCCUCAUUUGUAGGUUGGGGAUCACUACUCUGUGAGCGAUUCAAGGCGCGCAGACCCAGGUGAGGCGCUGGCAACCCGAAGUCCGCCGGGUUAGAGAAGCCAGAAGGAGCGCGGAGACCAGAGAGAACCGACUGGCGGUGAGAGGACAGUCCAGCAUCCUGGCUGCGGGCUAUGCUGCCGCGACAGGCUUUGUGAGCCUAGAGGCGGCACAGGAAGUCUCUCCCUUUGAAGGCCGGACAAGGAGUGAGGCAGCUCUGGUGACAGUUGCUGGACAUUAGGGUGGUUGGGGCAAAGCUGUUGGUGAGCACGCUCGGGAACGAACUGGGCGCCCGUCCCCACACCCGAAUGGCUGAAGGUGUUUUAAAAAGCCUAUUUGAAAAAUAAACAAUCUGGGAGUAAUCUUGAUUAUAUUUCCCCAGUUGAGGGGGUUCAUUUUUGUUCUGCUUUUGUUUUUUAAUCCUAAAGCACAUAUUCGCUUAUGAAUGCUACGAAGCUGCGGGCCCGGAGAUGCGUGUUGGUGGAGGUUUUCUGCAAACUGCAUUGUGCAGCCCUUGCCUCUGGAAUUCGGAAGCCGCUGCAAAGACAGAAACUAAAAAUUGCUUGAGCUCUGGAAGCUGCAGCCUCUGGCGACUGUUAGAGCUUUCAGUAGGGACUCAUAGAUAGAUCCAUGGGCGGCAACUCUGCUUCUCACCUUCAAGACCUCAUCUGCCAAGAUAUCUGUCUUUUUCCGUUUAGACUCUCUUAAGGACUUCCUGAUGGAAAACCGCCAAGGCUGGAAGCCUUCCAGGAGCACAACCUUACAGCUUGAAAACUCAGGGCGGGGUUCAAUCCAGGUUCGCGCAGCUUGAGGCUCGCAGUGUAGGACCUCUUCAAGAAAAAAAAAAUAUACAACAUCAGACUAAAUUAGGAAUCAAAGUAAAUAUUAGCUUAGCAUGCAAAAAGCAGUGUCAAUAAAUUAUACAAUUUAAAAAACAGACAAAUACCGCAACCAAAAAAAAUCCUGAUAAAUAUUUCUAAUAGUUGCCUGAACAACUGCU